GGUAGCAUGGCUGAGAGGCCGAAAGCAGCGGGUUGCUAACCCGUAGAGUCGCAAGGCUCCCAAGGUUCGAAUCCUUGUGCUACCGCCA
rnacentral:tRNA from 1 species